rnacentral:rRNA from 1 species
AGAGCAAAUGGUGGAUGCCUUGGCUAGUAGAGGCGAUGAAAGACGUGCCAGGCUGCGAUAAGUCUCGGGGAGCCGUCAAGGGGCUUUGAUCCGGGAAUUUCUGAAUGGGGCAACCCAGUAUAUAGUGAUAUAUACUACCGCAAUGCGGAGCGAACGUUGGGAAUUGAAACAUCUUAGUACCAACAGGAAAAGAAAUCAAACGAGAUUACGCUAGUAGCGGCGAGCGAAAGCGUAAGAGGGCAAACCACUAGCUUGCUAGUGGGGUUGUAGGACUGCAAUAUAGACUUAAAUAAUCUAAUAGAAUAAGUUGGAAAGCUUAAGCAUAGAGGGUGAUACUCCCGUAUAUGAAAGUGCGUUUAUACUUAGCAGUAUCCUGAGUAGGGCGGGACACGUGUAAUCCUGUCUGAAGCUGGGUAGACCACUAUCCAACCCUAAAUACUACUACUAGACCGAUAGUGCACAAGUACCGUGAGGGAAAGGUGAAAAGAACUGAGGUGAUCAGAGUGAAAUAGAACCUGAAACCAUUUGCUUACAAUCAUUCAGAGCCCUAUGAUUUAUCAGGGUGAUGGACUGCCUUUUGCAUAAUGAGCCUGCGAGUUGUGGUGUCUGGCGAGGUUAAGGAAACCCGGAGCCGUAGCGAAAGCGAGUCUUAAUAGGGCGUAUAGUCAGAUGCUGCAGACCCGAAACGAUGUGAUCUAUCCAUGAGCAGGUUGAAACUGGUGUAAGAGCCAGUGGAGGACCGAACAGACGGCCGUUGAAAAGGCUCCUGAUGACUUGUGGAUAGGGGUGAAAGGCCAAUCAAACAUCGUGAUAGCUGGUUCUCUCCGAAAUAUAUUUAGGUAUAGCGUUGUGUAGUAACUUUGUGAGGUAGAGCACUGAAUGGGCUAGGGCAUACACCAAUGUACCAAACCCUAUCAAACUCCGAAUGCGCAAAGUGUAAUCACAGCAGUCAGGCGGCGAGUGAUAAAAUCCGUCGUCGAGAGGGGAACAACCCAGACUAACAGCUAAGGUCCCUAAAUCUCAUUUAAGUGGAAAACGAUGUGGAGUUACUGAAACAACCAGGAGGUUGGCUUAGAAGCAGCCAUCCUUUAAAGAAAGCGUAAUAGCUCACUGGUCUAGUGAUUCUGCGCGGAAAAUAUAACGGGGCUAAAAUGAGUACCGAAGCUUUAGACUUAGUUUUUAACUAAGUGGUAGGAGAGCGUUCUAUUCAGCGUUGAAGGUAUACCGGUAAGGAGUGCUGGAGCGGAUAGAAGUGAGCAUGCAGGCAUGAGUAGCGAUAAAAGGGGUGAGAAUCCCCUUCGCCGUAAACCCAAGGUUUCCUACGCGAUGCUCGUCAUCGUAGGGUUAGUCGGGUCCUAAGCAAAGUCCGAAAGGGGUAUGCGAUGGAAAAUUGGUUAAUAUUCCAAUACCAAUUAUUAUGUGCGAUGGAAGGACGCUUAAAGUUAGUGGAGCUAGCGGAUGGAAGUGCUAGUCUAAGGGCGUAGGUUGAGUUAUAGGCAAAUCCGUAACUCUCUAUCCGAGACCUCAAAGGCUCUUGACGCUCUUCGGAGUAGAUGGAGAAUCCAUGAUACUAUCGAGCCAAGAAAAGUUUCUAAGUUUAGUAAUAAUUGCCCGUACCGUAAACCGACACAGGUGGGUGGGAUGAGUAUUCUAAGGCGCGUGGAAGAACUCUCUUUAAGGAACUCUGCAAAAUAGCACCGUAUCUUCGGUAUAAGGUGUGCCUAACUUUGUAUUAAGAUUUACUCCCAAAGCAAAGAAGGUUACAACAAAGAGUCCCUCCCGACUGUUUACCAUAAACACAGCACUCUGCUAACUCGUAAGAGGAUGUAUAGGGUGUGACGCCUGCCCGGUGCUCGAAGGUUAAUUGAUGGGGUUAGCAUUAGCGAAGCUCUUGAUCGAAGCCCGAGUAAACGGCGGCCGUAACUAUAACGGUCCUAAGGUAGCGAAAUUCCUUGUCGGUUAAAUACCGACCUGCAUGAAUGGCGUAACGAGAUGGGAGCUGUCUCAAAGAGGGAUCCAGUGAAAUUGUAGUGGAGGUGAAAAUUCCUCCUACCCGCGGCAAGACGGAAAGACCCCGUGGACCUUUACUACAGCUUGACACUGCUAUUUGGAUAAAGAUGCGCAGGAUAGGUGGGAGGCUUUGAUCCAUAGACUCUGGUUUAUGGUGAGCCAUUGUUGAGAUACCACUCUUCUUUAUUUGGGUAGCUAACUAGCCUAAGUUAUCCUUAGGUAGGACAAUGUCUGGUGGGUAGUUUGACUGGGGCGGUCGCCUCCCAAAGUGUAACGGAGGCUUACAAAGGUUGGCUCAGAACGGUUGGAAAUCGUUCGUAGAGUAUAAAGGCAUAAGCCAGCUUAACUGCGAGACGUACAUGUCAAGCAGAGACGAAAGUCGGUCUUAGUGAUCCGGUGGUUCUGUGUGGAAGGGCCAUCGCUCAAAGGAUAAAAGGUACCCCGGGGAUAACAGGCUGAUCUCCCCCAAGAGCUCACAUCGACGGGGAGGUUUGGCACCUCGAUGUCGGCUCAUCGCAUCCUGGGGCUGGAGCAGGUCCCAAGGGUAUGGCUGUUCGCCAUUUAAAGCGGUACGCGAGCUGGGUUCAGAACGUCGUGAGACAGUUCGGUCCCUAUCUGCCGUGGGCGUAAGAAGAUUGAGGAGAGUUGACCCUAGUACGAGAGGACCGGGUUGAACCAGCCACUGGUGUAUCAGUUGUUCUGCCAAGAGCAUCGCUGAGUAGCUAAGCUGGGAUGUGAUAAGAGCUGAAAGCAUCUAAGCUCGAAGCCAACUCCAAGAUGAAUCUUCUUUUAAGAGCUCUAGUAGACUACUAGUUUGAUAGGCUGGGUGUGUAAUGGAUGAGAGUCCUUUAGCUGACCAGUACUAAUAGCUCGUUUGCUUAUCUU